AAAUGGUUGGAAUAUGUGGCUCCUUUCCUGUCACGACAUCCUUCCUUCCGGAUCUUCACCACGGAGAUUUUCAUCUGCUGCGGUUUGGGAAGUACCUCCCGUGGGCACGGUGGUCUCCGUGACCCUCUCGGACAGUGUGUGGAAACCGAGGCUCCCGGACACAGAAGACUUCUCCUAGGGGAACAACUUUUGGGCGCACAACUUUCUGUGCGUUUUUCUAGUUUUAAUACCUUAAGCUUUUUCAAGACCUAACUGCAGCCGCUUUGGGAGAAAAAAAAAUAACAAAACAGAAAACAAACAAAAAAAAACUGCUUUGCAUAAAACAGUCACCUGUUUCCUAGUACCUCAGACUUAACCAAGGGAAUUCUCUGCAUUUGUCUGUACUACCUGUGGCCCUUGUGGUUAAAUGUAGAGAGAACUGCUGGACAGGAUGGUGAAUGGAGAAAAAAAAAGAGUUUUAAAGAAAGGAACACAAAUUGUGCUUAAAAUCCCCACGUGGGUUUUAUUUCUUAAAAUACUGUGAUUUUUUUAAUUAUUUUAGUAAAAAACAAAACAAAAAAAAAAGAAACAGACUUUAAUUACUAGAUAACUGUGUGUGAAUUGUCAUCUUGUAUUCCAGGUAAGCUGUUUAUUAGUGUUCAGCUAUAAUUUAGAAUUUGGUAGGUUCAUGUGAACUAAUUUUAUGGUGAUCGUGGGAUUUCGUUGGCCACAUGUUUAUUUUUUUCUCGAUUUGAGUGUUACAAACACAGCACAAAUUCAGUUGUUCUUUCUUCAUAUGAGUUGUUCUCUGUGUGUUUGUUUAAUUUGAGGUCAAGGGAGAGUUAGAGGGUGUAGGGUGUGUGUGUGUAUGUAUGUGUGUGUGUGUGAAUUUUUAUAAUUUUAAACAUGAACAUAACAAAGAGGUUAACUUCCUUUUAAAUUUGUUUUUGUGUUUGUUUGCUUUUUAAUUUAACUAAAGAACCAAACUCCGAGCACAGCUAUGCAGUGGGGGGGGCCAGACAAGGAGGUCCCGUCACCCUUUUGGGUUUGUUUGUUUUUUUUUUUUCUCAAAGCAACACAUUUCGUCUCCCCAACGAUUUCUGUUACAUUGGGCUGGCCUUCGUGUGUGCUGUGAACUCUGUUUUGUUUGCUUUGUGUAUUGUGAGGCUGUCUCAUUUCUUUGGGGAGCCAUCCCUUCCGUGAGCUUGGACAGGAGAUGCCGCAUCCUGCAGGGAGCCUGGAAAAGUGCUUUGUCUGCGCAUCUAGCUGCUCUGUUUCCCCACAGUGGCUUCGUUUAUUUUAUUUUAUUUUUUUCCAAGAGCAGCUUAGACUGAAAGCAAGUCUACAUUUAUAGCACAUUAUGAUUGUGAAAAUGGGGUUUUGUUCCAAAAAGUGGAAAGGAACAUUCUUGAAGCUUAGGGGCGUGUGUGUGUGGGUGGGUGGGUGUGUGCGCGUGCGCACAUACGUGUGCUGGUGUUUGGAUGUAUGUGUGUGGGCAAAUAUGAGUCCUAGGUUUUGUUUCUUUUGUUGUCCUUGUUUGGGUUUUUGUUUGUUUGUUUUUUUUAACUUGGAAGGGUUGAUGGGGUGGGGGGCGGGCCAGAAGGGAAAGAGGGUAAACUGAGGUGUCAGUGUCCCACACAGCUUCAGAGAAAAUCCAUGGAAAGAUAUCGCAUUUGUGAAGUAAGUACGUACUUGAAAAGCAUGAUCUUGGUUUUGCUUUGUUUUUAUUUUUUAUUUUUGUUUUUAUUUUUGAUUUUUAGUUUUUGCUAUUAAGAAUUUUUAUUUGUAGGAUGUUUAAUUUAAUUUUGUUUUUAGGGAUGGGGCCGUCAUGUGGAAACCAGAACAGGGGGAAGUGUGAAAUAUCUAGACAGAUUCUUCUGUGUCCUUACUCGCUUUUGAUUGGCCUCAUUUCAAAUGUACUAAACAGUUUCAUACCUGGACUGGAUGUCUGUGAUGGUUACCAAAAACAAACAAAACAACGAAAGGAAAAGAGAAAAUAAUUGUGACAUGCUUCUAUCACUACUUUAUUUUUCAAAUAACAUGUAAAUAUUGUAAUCCAUUGGAUUUUGUUUUGCUAACCUGAUAAUAAAAAUAUGGGACCAUUAUCCUUUUAACAAGGCUAGGAUGUCAUUUUUUUGUUUUAUUUUUCAAACAUAUACCUGAUAUUUUGUGGCCGCACAUUUUGGACGCAUUCUGUUUUCUGUUGACUGUAAUGACAUAGAAUUUACAAAAUUUUUUGUUGUUGUUGUUUAAUUUAUACAGAGGACAUUUUUUUUUCCAGAGCUUGAGAGAAGAAAAUAAAUAGCAAAAUGAUAACCUAUUGACUCCAAUAAUCAGUGUUUCCUGAAACUUGAUGAAAGAUAGGGGGAUCCUGACUCCUUGAAGCCAAGGGUUUAAACACAAAAAAAAUAAAAUAAAAAAAUAAAUAAAAAUAAAAAACACAAGUAGGUUAUUCAAGUUGUUUGCAACAUACAUUUUGUAAUGAGAUGUGAGAAAUUAAUAAAGAAUUUUUUUCACAUGUA
rnacentral:lncRNA from 1 species